AAGUGGAGAGACAAGUGGAAACAAAAAUAAAUUAGAUAUAAGAGAGCUGUUUCAGAGAUCGUCAGGGGAUGUAGUUUUUUGUAGUAUUUUUCUUUUUCUUAGUAAAACGGGUAUUAUGGGGAGAUUAUAAGCGUCUGGUCCAUACUCCAACCUGGAAAUGCACCUAAAAGUUGUUUGCCAACCACCAUAAAAAAAAGAAGAAGAAACUUGAGAGACUGAAAGUUAAGAGACUGAUGGGAAAGCUGCCAUUUUGUCUUGUGAGUGAACUAUGCUGUGCUGAAGGAGGCCUAAUCACCUUAGUUCAUGGGAGGAAAGCAUUGUUCUAUCAUCGAUCAAGAGAAUCAUCCGUCUGCUUUGGUCAAACUGCCCUGUCUUUGUCUCUCUCUGCAAACUGAAAUCGACCUGCUGCAGGUUUCUGCAAUACGAGGAACCUGAUCUCAGAAUUCAGUGAUAUGAAGUGACGUUCCAUACGUUGCUGCUCAGCUCUUCCUUUUACCCAGCGAAUCAUCCGGCUCCCUGUCAGUGCUGCAGCUGCCAGCGAGUCGCAACAGUAAAAAAAACUUACUGCUUAUCACAAAUAUGCAAACAUAUGGACAACUUUUCCUGUAAAUGCAGAAGAUUCUGCUUGCUUGUCAAUGAAGAGACAGACCACGAGAAAACCAGGAAGAAGAACACUUCAAAAAGUGUUCAUCAGAGCAGAAAAAGAUUAAAAAGGAUAAAAAAACCCCCACAAAUUUCUGAGAACUGAUUUUUCUUGCAAACCUUGUUUUAGUCAUGUAGAAACGGCAGUUUUGUAGGUUUAAAAUGCUAAACUUGAAUUCUGAUUGCUAACAGAGUAAAUAUGAGAUGUUUUGUUGUGUGGGAGAAACUUAGCGCUGAUUAACAUACUGGGCUUUAUUGGAUAUUCAUUUUGUUAUUUGUUUUGGCCAAUAAGAUUAACGUUUAAAAGAAACAGCUGCCCACUAAACAUCGCCACCAUGAUGGAGGUCCGCUGGUGGAUCCAGCAUUUAGUGCCUGAACCCAGAGGGGUUUUCAGGGUCAUGAUCCCUCUGGAGAUGAAGGUGUUUUUUAUUGUUGUCAUGGUCACUGUUCUUCUGAAUAUGUGUUUGUGUUUUUAUGUUAUUUUUCUUGCUUCUUCAGGUUGUUCCUUGUAUUUAUAGCUCCUAGCUUGUUUAUUAUUGUAUUUUAUUUGCACAUUUCCUUUAAAUUAUGUUAGCUGUUGGAUGUUAGAAGUGUUUACACACCAGAUUAUAUUUACACAAUGUUUUUUUUAUUUUUAUUUCGUGUAAAUAGUUUGUUAUGGCUUUUAUGAACAAAUAUGCAUAUAUUGUCCCUUUUUUCAAAUAAUCCUAUAAUUUUUAAUGACUGCAUUAUUUCUCCUGUUUAAAUUUGCCCUUCAUGUAUAAUCUCUUUUUCUUAUUCUGUCUGUUUACCUGUAACUUCCUGCUGGUACACUUGAAGUUCCCAAAGGUUGGACAAUAAAGGAUAUUUCUAUUCUAA